GCCUUCACGAUCGUGAUGGCCCGCUGGUCCCACUUCUCUGUCUCAAACUGGCUUUUUCUCAAUCCUUUGACUCCGCCGGGCUUUGUCACCCCCAUGACCUGGUGUUGGGUCUGAUCACCCCAACGUUCCUGGCUGCUCAAUGUGGGGUGACAAAGACCCCGGUGAAGGAACGCUAGAGCGUGUGAAAGCAGAGGACGCAUCAUCAGAGGACACCUGAGGAUGUCUAAAAGAAGCUCAGCAGGAAAGCUGAGUGCUGGGAAGAACCAGGGUAGCAAUGGGACAAAGUGAAAGCAGACAUUCUGCUUAUUUAAAUUUCUUAAGGCGUUUAUUAUGAAGAGGGGGGAGUGAAAGUUAGUGCUCAGAAUUUAUCACUCUUCAGUGCAGUAAAGCAGUUUUGCCCAUGGUUCCCGGAACAAGGGACUAUGGAGUUGGAUGAAUGGGAGAGAAUUGGCAGAGAUUUUUAAAAAAACAUAUAAAGGUGGAGCAAAUAUUCCAGUCUCGGUUUGGUCAAUGUGGGCACUAAUAAAAGCAGCUCUUGAGCCAUUUCAAACAGAUCAUGAGGCAGAUUCAGAUGAGGAAGAGGAGGGCGAGUGUAAAAAACUAACUUCAGAUUCUGAAUGUGAGGAACAGAAACCGGAGGAAAUCAAAGAAAGGGAAACCGAAAAAGGUCCUAAUAAGAGAUGAAGAACAAUGAAGAUAUCGUGAAAAAUAUUUUGCUUCCCUGCCUUCAUACAAUCCUCUAACAGUCAAAAAUGUAUCUGCAGCGCCCAGUAAGGCCAACUGAUGACUCAAACACAACCCCCCAAGGGUGUCCUUAUGCCCUUCCAUUGCUUAAAAUAAAGAGCUCGGGGGUCACUUACGGAAAUCAAUGGGCUGGAGUGCAAUGGCAUGAUCUCGGGUCACUACAACCUCUGUCUCCCCGGUUCAAGCAAUUCUCCUGCCUCAACCUCCUGCGUAGCUGGGAUUACAGGCCUGCCCAUGGCUGCUCAUGGAACAAUCGGCUAGCGUUUCCUCCCCUCUGAGAUCCAUAAAAGCCGGCAGCUCAGCCAGAGCAGGGCAGAGGGCAGAGGACAGAGAGAUGAUGGGAUGACCCGCUGCAGAGAGGAGCUACCCUCCUGCUGAGAGCUUCAGAGACCUGCAGAGACUUCCAAAUGAUCUGCCUGCAGAGAUGAGCCACGCUUUCCAGGGCUUUCUCUCUGCUGAGAGCUGAGUACUUGAGGAGAGGGCCUGCCUAGGAGCCGACCUGACUACAGAGAGGAGCUGCCCACUGUGGGUCUCUUCUGUUCUAACACUAAAUAAAGCUCCUCUUUAUCUUCUUCACCCUUCACCUGUCUGCAUACUUUAUUCUUUAUUCUUCCUGGACGCAGGACAAGAACUCAGGGCAAAGGUGCCACUGGCCACAGAGGUUUUCAGGAAGAAAAUUGACACCCCAAAGAUUGCCACCGGCUACAGAGGCUUCCAGAAAGAAAAUUGACACCUCAAAGAUCCCGUAACAGUUCCUCUCUAGGUUAUAGGACAGCUGCCAAUUACAAUAAGGCCUGCUCACUUUCUUCUUUACAUUCAGCAGAGAGAAAUUGCCUCUCCCUAAGCCAUCAGACAGUCUAUCUUCAGUCUUUUGGGGUCAGUUUGCGAUGCUACCCAAACAAUGUAGGGCUGGUUCCUUGAAGCAAUCACUGAUUGGCUUGCUGGCCAGGGCCCAUCUACUGAGUUCAGGUCAGUUCCUCAAAGCUCACUGCUGCAACAUGAUGGAAAGUGGGGGUGAAUGUUGAGGAAUCAACUACUCUAUCCACUACAAAAGAUUUCCUCAGAAAACGCUCAUGUUUUUACUAAACUGACGCUUGACUGUACAUUUAUUUUGAAGUUUGCUAAGAUGAAAGGAAUUUUAGUAUUUCUUACAGUUAGUGUCUAAGGUAGAUCUCUGGAAAGGUUACGUGCCAUCUUGAAUUGCAGUUAGAUUUCAGACAAUUCAUGAAAUAUCAAUAUUCAAAUAUAAAUAGGAAGUAUAAACUGAUUUUUAACCUAAUUUUUAAAAAGUCAGUUAUUAGAUAAAAUAAUGUUAAAGUAAAAAUUGUAGCUAAGCAUUAAAGGCAAUAAAUAUGUCCAAAGACAUACAUAGAGAGAUUCUUUCAAUUGGAGGAAGACCACUCCCCUAAUAAUCUAAGGUUGCCUUACAUGACAGCUACAGUGCAUAAACACUCAAACAUAAUUUUAUUCUUGAGCUGCAGAAAAUUUAAACAUUUGUGUGAUAUCGUCUACAUAUAUGGAAUAUACGCAUUCCUUUCGCUCUUCAAAAUUUCUGUAAGGAAGUAAUAUAUGCACAUCGCAACAAAAUUCAACCAGCACCAAUAGUUUUUUAAGUCUCUUUCUCACUCAAAUUUCCCCAGAAUCUUCCUUCUUAAAGGCCUAAGAUUAUCAGUUUCUUGUGUGUUCUUCCCUAAAUAUUCUGUAUAUAAGAAAACAGAUACAGCCUUUUUUUUUUUUCUUUGUGAGAUGGCGUGUCGCUCUGUCUCCCAGGCUGGAGUGCAGUGGCACAAUCUCAGCUCAUGACAACCUCUGCCUGCUGGGUUCCAGCGAUUCUCCCACCUCAGCCUCCUGAGUAGCUGGGAUUACAGGUGCUCACCACCAUGCCCAGCUUUUUUUUUUUUUUUUUUUAGUAGAGAUGGGGUUUCACCAUGUUGCCUAGGCUGGUCUCGACUUCCUGACCUCAAGUGAUCCACCUGCCUCGGGCUCCCAAAAUGCUGGGAUUACAGGUGUGAGCCACCACGCCUGGCCCCCAGAUACAUCCUUUCAAAAAAAUACAAAUGGGAACACAGCUACACUGUUCAGAAACUUGCUUAUCUUCGUUUGAUAAUACACUGCGUUCAUACUCCAUAGAGUGAUCCAACCUUGAGUAACUAACUGCAUGAUUAUAUCUCAUGAACUUGAAGUGGAGGUAAGGACAGCACUUGGGCUUAGAUGACGGCUGCUGUAGAAGGAGUGAUUCACUGCCCAGGAAGGGAAAAUGCAAUGAAGAACAGGAGCCCUGAAGGAAUGUGCCACAGCACCUGGAGUGAGGGAAACAAAAUCACCAGCAAGAGGUGAAAGUGAUGGGGACAAAGAAGGCUGGGGCCUCACAAAUUGCCUACGGUUGUUGUUGUUGUUGUUGUUGUUUUGAAACAGGGUCUUGCUCUGUUGCCCAGGCGGGAGUGUGGUCGCACAAUCUCGGCUCACUGCAACCUCCGCCUCCCAGGUUCCAGCAAUUCUCCUGCCUCAGCUUCCCAAGUAGCUGGGACUACAGGCAGACACCACCACACCCGGCUAAUUUUUGUAUUUUAAUAGAGACGAGGUUUUGCUAUGUUGGCCAGACUGUUCUUGAACUCCUGACCUCCAGUGAUCCACCCACCUCAGCCUCUCGAAGUACUGGGAUUACAGGCGUGAGUCACUGCACCCAGCCUGUUCUUUUGUCUUUCAACAAUCUAGAGUCAGAGUGAAGAAUUUUACUGUGAUUCUGAAAACAAAGAAUUCUUUACUUGGUUAAUGAAGUUUUGUUUUGCUUUGUUUUUUUUUCCUUCGUCUUUGUGUAAUGGUUUUUGAAUGGGCUGUUUUUGAAUAAAAGCCUUUCGUCCUAGGGCAAUCCCAUAGUUAGGGUAUUUCUGCAUGUGAGAUUCUCUACUUCACCACUAGAUGGACCUACUUGAUAUUUUGUCUUCCGAAAAAGCGAAACAAUUUUAUACUGUGAAGUCUUUCUGACAAAGAUUUAAACUGCUCACCUUAAAAAAAGAUUUGAGGGCUUAAAAUAAUAAUAAACCAAAUCACUUUUACAAAAUAAUGAGUAAAAUGUACUUAUAUAUUUAAAUAAUGUUAAUAAAAUGAAACACUUGUAUAACCGCCUCCUGGCUUAAGAAAUAAAAUAUAACCAAAUAAAUCCUUGAAGCCAACUAUGCUUCCUCUCUGAUUUUCCCCUUCUUUUUCCCACCUGGAUAAAUUGUAAAUUAUUGGCUAUUAAAAAUCGUUUUAUAAUAUGAUAUAUCUCUAAACAAUAUAAUGUGUAAUUUGUUCAGGUCUUGAAACUUGUGUAAAAUAACUCACAUUGUAUUUAUUUUUCUCUGACUUGCUUUUUUCCACUCAUUAUUCUUUUUCUGAGAUUCAUUCACGCAUUUUUAAAACUGCUUGAUGGUAUUGUGUUUUAUAAAUAGACUAAAAUUAAUUUCUCCAUUUUACUGAUUUUGGACUUGCUUGUUUUCAUUGAAUAUUAUGAUUUUAAGAUUUUCAUGUUAACUCAUGCAGCUGAGAUUAAGGUAGAUUAAACAUUCCUGUUUUAUCAUCUGUAUCUAAUACUUCCAGGGUCAAUCUUGGGGUUCUGCUCCUCCAGUUUACUCUUUUUUUCUGCUGGAUUGGGUUGAUUUGGGCUUGUUUCCAUACGUGUUUUAAUAAUUUUUUUAAAAAAAUACAAAUACAUGUUCCUUCAGCAGAAAGUCUCUGAAAGCAAUGUUUUCAUUUUUACUUCUAUGAUUUUAUAUCUUUAAUUAGCCCCUAGAAGUUCUUCACUUCUCCCAUCUAGAGCUCAUUUCACUCACUGCCCUUUUUGGCUUCUAGACUGUCACUGUCUCCAGC
rnacentral:lncRNA from 1 species